AUUUAAAUAGUUUAAAAAAAAUUUUGAUUUGUGAAAUCAAAGAUAAAAUAAAAAUUUUUAAAUU
rnacentral:tRNA from 1 species